CAAAUCGAAUUCUUCGGCUGCUGUCCUUCUCAGGCUCUCCAUAUUCGGUCACUUCCGCUUUCACUACAUGAAUUUAUACAGCUUCGUUCCACCCUCUUGGUUUCACUCCCGAAAAAACGUUCCAAGUUGUUUCCACCCUCUUGAAAGUGGUACCCAAGCUGCUCAACCCCCCUCCCCCCCACCUUUUUUCUCUCCCUCCUUCCUUGCCCCUCCAUCCAUCCUGUAACAGCCCAACGCGUGCUCUGCAUCUUUAAAACUCUCUUCUUGUCAGAGUCCUGACCUCCGUGAAGGCUUUGGGCCCGGCUUACACAUCACUGCUCCCUUCUCAUGACCGCUCUUUAUCGGACAAUCAUUGUACCUGAGAAGAUCUGCAGGCCAUCAGGACGUGCUGCUGUGGCUUGUGUUGUUAUUGCCAAAUUUUUGAAUAAGAUUCCUGUUCUUGACAUCCAGUUAAACACUGAAAGAAAAGAAUAUCCAAGUGACAAGUUCAUGAACAGGAUGAAACAAGCUUCUGAAAGAGAAACAGAGAGCUUUAGCCUCAACCUGGACAAUGGACUGGCUAUGGUAGAGGGAGUCCUUGGAUAAUGGCACCUGUGGUCCAGUAUCUCCAUCCAGCCAGACCAGGGACUGACAGAUGAAACUACACUUGAUCCACGCCAGUGUGGCAAUUGACCCUCUAUGCCGCAUCUUCCAAAGCUG
rnacentral:lncRNA from 9 species